GACGAACGCUGGCGGCGUGCUUAACACAUGCGAGUCGAACGGAAAGGCCCUGCUUGCCGGGUACUCGAGUGGCGAACGGGUGAGUAACACGUGGGUGAUCUGCCCUGCACUUCGGGAUAAGCCUGGGAAACUGGGUCUAAUACCGGAUAGGCGCCAUUUUUAGUGUGAUGGUUGGAAAGUUUUUUCGGUGUAGGAUGAGCUCGCGGCCUAUCAGCUUGUUGGUGGGGUAAUGGCCUACCAAGGCGGCGACGGGUAGCCGGCCUGAGAGGGUGGACGGCCACAUUGGGACUGAGAUACGGCCCAGACUCCGACGGGAGGCAGCAGUGGGGAAUAUUGCACAAUGGGCGCAAGCCUGAUGCAGCGACGCCGCGUGGGGGAUGACGGCCUUCGGGUUGGAAACUCCUUUCGCUAGGGACGAAGCUUUUUGUGACGGUACCUAGAGAAGAAGCACCGGCUAACUACGUG
rnacentral:rRNA from 1 species